CCUACGGGUGGCUGCAGUGGGGAAUAUUGGACAAUGGGCGAAAGCCUGAUCCAGCCAUGCCGCGUGUGUGAAGAAGGCCUUCGGGUUGUAAAGCACUUUCAGUGGGGAAGAAAGCCUUGGGGCUAAUACCCUCGAGGAAGGACAUCACCCACAGAAGAAGCACCGGCUAACUCCGUGCCAGCAGCCGCGGUAAUACGGAGGGUGCGAGCGUUAAUCGGAAUUACUGGGCGUAAAGCGCGCGUAGGCGGUCUGAUAAGCCGGUUGUGAAAGCCCCGGGCUCAACCUGGGAACGGCAUCCGGAACUGUCAGGCUAGAGUGCAGGAGAGGAAGGUAGAAUUCCGGUGUAGCGGUGAAAUGCGUAGAGAUCGGGAGGAAUACCAGUGGCGAAGGCGGCCUUCUGGACUGACACUGACGCUGAGGUGCGAAAGCGUGGGUAGCAAACAGGAUUAGAUACCCUUGUAGUC
rnacentral:rRNA from 1 species